UACGUAGGGGGCAAGCGUUGUCCGGAAUCAUUGGGCGUAAAGAGCGUGUAGGCGGCUCGGGUAGUCUGGUGUGAAAUCUUUCGGCUCAACCGGAAGCGGUCACUGGAUACUCUCGGGCUUGAGUCCGGAAGAGGAGAGUGGAAUUCCUGGUGUAGCGGUGGAAUGCGCAGAUAUCAGGAGGAACACCAAUGGCGAAGGCAGCUCUCUGGUACGUGACUGACGCUGAGACGCGAAAGCGUGGGGAGCGAACAGG
rnacentral:rRNA from 1 species